rnacentral:rRNA from 1 species
UACGUAGGUGGCAAGCGUUGUCCGGAUUUACUGGGCGUAAAGGGUGCGUAGGCGGACAAUUAAGUCAGAUGUGAAAUCCCAGGGCUCAACCUUGGGGCUGCAUUUGAUACUGGUUGUCUAGAGUGCAGGAGAGGAGAGUGGAAUUCCUAGUGUAGCGGUGAAAUGCGUAGAUAUUAGGAAGAACACCAGUGGCGAAGGCGACUCUCUGGACUGUAACUGACGCUGAGGCACGAAAGCGUGGGGAGCGAACAGG